UAAUGUGCGAAAAGUAAUGCGAAUUGCAUACCUCUGCGAGUCAUCUAGUCUUUGAACGCAAAUGGCACUAUCACGACGAGUGAUAGUAUGUCUAUUUGAGAACCACAAAACCCCUCACCACUUUAUUAGUGUUGGACCUGUCCCCUAUGCUUUGGUAUUUGGGACUAAAUGUAUGAUGCUGCGUGGAUUACACGGAAUAUAUGAUAAUAUCUUUAUAUUUCGAGUAAUCUUUUAUACGUGCACCCCUUUUUUUGAUAUCACAUCUAGUGAUAUCACUAUCAAAAAAAUGGUCUCAAAUUAGACAAGGUUACCCGCUGAACUUAA
rnacentral:misc_RNA from 1 species